UUCAUCAACUUCCACCAAUGGGCAUGUUACAGCGCUUACAUCAACUGUUUUCAUUUGCUCUGAGUAUCAUGGUCUAGUAAUGUUGUAGACUCUUUAGUACUGAAUGUCAAACCAAAUCUCUGUGACACAGUCUCUAUUUGCUUUAAAGGCUCAGCUCAGCUCUUGCAAAGACCCGAGACAACCAAACCAGUGACAGGGUUUUCACAGACCGUCAGUCUAGCAGUACUACAUAAACACCGACCAGGCAUAACAUUAUGACCACACACUCCAGUCUAGAAGGUGGCGGUAAUGCACUAAAGCAGUUCGCCAACCGCCAUUAAACAACAGAAGAAGAAGAAAAUAACAAUGACCACUGACAGGUGAAGUGAAUCACACUGAUGAGCUCGUUACAUCCACCUGUCAGUGGGUGGAGUAUAUAAGGCAGCAAGACAACAGACUCUGAAGGAGGACGGACGGCCACAGCUCGCUGGUGAUGAAGGCUGUCUGUAGGUCUUGUGCUUUUAAAUUUUGAUGUGUAGCGUUCUUUGUGUAUGCAGAUGCCUAGCUAUUACUCUGAGGUAAAGCAGUUAGCGAGGCGUGUAGUUUUAGCAAAACUCUGCUAGCAAGAAGCCUUUAGAGCUGAAGACAAACCAGGCGUGUGUCCUAAUUAGCUCCAUGUGUGCUUAGCCUUCAGACAUGAUGGCGAUGAACCAGCAGAGGGAGGACAUCGCCUUUUCUUGGAACUUGCCACCAGUAAUUCGGAGACUAUUUCAACAUUUGGCAAUCUUGAACCAGAUGCCCUUCCAUGGCCAGAUGUGCAUAAAGACAGGAAUUUCAUUAUUGAAAUCAAAUAUUUACAAAGCUUUUUUUUUUCUCCAGGCUUUCCAUCCCAGCUCAGCCAGCUGCUGAACUUUUGGGUAAGAGAGGGAAAUCCCGACUGAUGGGGUCAUCAAAGCAGAGUACCUCACAUUUUCUCCAUAUAGUUACAUGACUAGUCCAAGCACAUGCAGUAAGUGUUACUCUGCUUUGCCCAAAACUUCAGUGUUUUAAUGGUACAUUGUGUGUUCUUCAAUAAAGCUAUUACAACAGAAACUUUCUGGUUCUUCUUUUAAUAUCAAGGGUAUCAGGCACUGGUUCUUCAGUGUAAAAACUAAGACCUGAACCAGUGUCAUUAAAAAGGUAACUUGGUUUUGCUUUAAUGUCAAAGCCAAGGCAGUGGUACAGUUCUUCACUGGAUUCCAGCACAAUCCACAUCUGGGAAAGUGGUCUCUCUGAAACAAAAGACAACAUUAACUCAUGUCCAGAUGUAAAUCUUUAAAUGACUGCAAAGCUGAGUUACUAUAAAAUUCAACACUGACCUCGUUAUGUACACAGAAGCUAUCAAAAAACAAGACCUACCACCUGGAUGUAAUGGUCAAACAGAACACAAAGUUCUGACUAAAGCAAUACAGGCCUUGAACUUUUGGCUUAAGGCACAACAACAAAGCUUCAUUAUCCUACAGUGACUGAAACUGUUACACUACAGUUCAUUCUGACCCUGUGUACAAACGUGGUGGAUACAAAUGCAGAGUGAAAGCACUUAUAGAGACGCUAAUAUGCACAGCUGUCUUAAAACACCUCAUAUUAAACUAGGAAGGUUGUUAGUGGAAAAGAUGGGUCAGAUUGGAACAAAGAAUGAAAUGUUAUAUACAAUUACACUGUGCUCCAUGUUAG